rnacentral:rRNA from 1 species
UACAGAGGUCUCAAGCGUUGUUCGGAAUUACUGGGCGUAAAGGGUGCGCAGGCCGCGCGGUCAGUCAAAUGUGUAAUUCAGGGGCUCAACCCCUGCACUGCGCUUGAUACUUCCGCGCUCGAACCUUGGAGAGGAGUCUGGAAUUCUCGGUGUAGCAGUGAAAUGCGUAGAUAUCGAGAGGAACACCAGUGGCGAAGGCGGGUCUCUGGACGAUUCCUGACGCUGAGGCACGAAAGCCAGGGGAGCAAACGGG